rnacentral:rRNA from 1 species
UACGAAGGGGGCUAGCGUUGUUCGGAAUUACUGGGCGUAAAGCGCGCGUAGGCGGAUCGUUAAGUCAGGGGUGAAAUCCCGGGGCUCAACCCCGGAACUGCCUUUGAUACUGGCGGUCUUGAGUUCGGGAGAGGUGAGUGGAAUUCCGAGUGUAGAGGUGAAAUUCGUAGAUAUUCGGAGGAACACCAGUGGCGAAGGCGGCUCACUGGCCCGAAACUGACGCUGAGGUGCGAAAGCGUGGGGAGCAAACAGG